GCCAGGAGUGGCAGUGCAUGCCUGUAGUCCCAGCUACUUGGGAGGUUGAGGCAGGAGGAUCCCUUGAGUCCAAAAGUUCUGGGCUGUAGUGCGCUAUGUCGACUGAGUGUCUGCACUAAAUCUGGCAUCAAUAUGGUGACCUCCUGGGAGUGGGGGACUACCAGGUUGCCUAAGGAGGAGUGAACUGGAAUCAGGUCAGAAACAGAUCCGGUCAAAACUUCUGCUCUGAUCAGUGGUGAUCAUGCCUAUGAAUAGCCACUGUACUUCAGCCUGGGCAACAUAGUGAGACCCUGCCU
rnacentral:SRP_RNA from 10 species